rnacentral:rRNA from 1 species
CCUCGGGAGGCAGCAGUGGGGGAUAUUGCACAAUGGGGGAAACCCUGAUGCAGCGACGCCGCGUGAGUGAAGAAGUAUUUCGGUAUGUAAAGCUCUAUCAGCAGGGAAGAAAAUGACAGUACCUGACCAAGAAGCCCCGGCUAACUACGUGCCAGCAGCCGCGGUAAUACGUAGGGGGCAAGCGUUAUCCGGAUUUAUUGGGUUUAAAGGGUGCGUAGGCGGAGUGUCAAGUCAGCGGUAAAAUUUCGGGGCUCAACCCCGUCGUGCCGUUGAAACUGACGCCCUUGAGUGAGUGAGAAGUAAGCGGAAUGCGUGGUGUAGCGGUGAAAUGCAUAGAUAUCACGCAGAACGCCGAUUGCGAAGGCAGCUUACCGGCGCUCAACUGACGCUGAGGCACGAAAGUGCGGGUAUCGAACAGGAUUAGAUACCCCGGUAGUC